rnacentral:rRNA from 1 species
GGUAUCCUGGCUCAGAUUGAACGCUGGCGGCAUGCCUUACACAUGCAAGUCGAACGGCAGCGCGGGGCGAACCUGGCGGCGAGUGGGCGAACGGGUGAGUAAUAUAAUCGGAACGUACCCUGGAUGGGGGAUAACGUAGCGAAAGUUACGCUAAUACCGCAUACGAUCUAAGGAUGAAAUGGGGGAUUCGCAAGAACCUCAUGCUCCUGGAGCGGCCGAUAUCUGAUUAGCUAGUUGGUAGGGUAAAAGCCUACCAAGGCAUCGAUCAGUAGCUGGUCUGAGAGGACGACCAGCCACACUGGAACUGAGACACGGUCCAGACUCCUACGGGAGGCAGCAGUGGGGAAUUUUGGACAAUGGGCGCAAGCCUGAUCCAGCAAUGCCGCGUGAGUGAAGAAGGCCUUCGGGUUGUAAAGCUCUUUUGUCAGGGAAAAAACGGUGCUUUCUAAUACAGAGCGCUAAUGACGGUACCUGAAGAAUAAGCACCGGCUAACUACGUG